UAAGUGUCUUGAACUCUGCGAAUAUUACGUAUCUUAUUCCUGCUUGGAAUGCUCUAUGGUUCCUGUCUGCGAUACUUUUCUUGUAAAGUGAUCAAAUUAUCUUUCAAUCCUACUCUCUUGUUCACGUACGCUCUUGUUUGAUUCUGGCUGCAUAUGCUUGUUUAAAACCCUUGGUGUAUUUAGCUUCUUUAUUUAGCCACUUCCACUUGAAUCAUGUAUUUUUUUUAUAUAUACAUUUGAAUCUGUUUUGAUGCAAUACACAUUUUUAAGUUCAUAUUUUGAGUCCUUUGUAAACAAAUUGUAAUUUAGUUUUUUUCCUUAUUUGACGAUAAUUACAGCCAUUCUUUAAAUCUUAACAAAACCGCUUUUAAUUUGAUAUGUACUUUAUAUAAACGUUGAAAGAUUCUUAUACAGUUUAAAACUAAUUGUUUCCAAUACCUCGCCUGUUUCUUUACUGAUUUAUGGAAAUAUAUAUAUACUUUAAAUACAAUUUGAUUUUCUAGCAACUUUAUUACAAUUUUUACGAAUAUCCUUAUUUGAUUAUAUACUUAGAUAUUUUUCAAAGAAAGGUUUUUAUCUCCUCCUAGUUAGUUUUUAUUUGGUAAACUUCACCUAUUUUAUUUUUAAUUUGAAUUUGGUUUAGCAUACUAUAUUGUUUGUGCAAUUAUUGUUCUUCUAGAAAAAAAAAUGUUGGACUCAUAUAUUUCUUCUUGUAAAUAAACCAAUUUCUUUCUUAAGCUUUUCAUUUAUGAGAAUGUUAUAUUUGAUUCUGUUUUUAAUUACUCUCUCACCUUUUUUGAACGUCACCAUUAGUCUUAGUUUUUCAUUUCUUAUGAAUCUCAUGCUCAUUCGAGUCAACUUGAAUUCGUUUCCAUCUAAUGCACCAUUUGUCCUUUUAUUUGUCUUUCUUUAGUCAAAGAUUUUCUUGAGAAUUUUCUAUUGAUUAAGUUAUCUUUCCUGACGCAUUUUGUAUUCCUUUGGACCAAUUGGAAACUCAUUUGAUAAUCUGUGCCUAGUGAGUUUUUUUUUAAGAAAUUUAAGUUUUGAAUCAACUUCUUUAAGUUGCUGAGUUUCUUUUUAAGCUUUUCGUUUCUAUGAGCGACAUGCUUUAUGAAUCCUAAUCGAAAUCCUUUAAGUUCCUUUCUUAAAAUGAAUUAGUUUCCUUUUUAGCGCAUCUUAAUAUUAUUGAACAUCUUUAUAAAGUUGUAACUUCAAGUAUAUUAUUGGAAUUUUAUUUUAAACCUUUUUAAACAAGUUUUGAUUUAUUCUUAUGCAAAGUUGUCCUUGACUUUGAAUUGCUUUACUUGAGCAGUGCCUCUCUUUGAUGUGAUUUGAACUCGUUCCAGGGCGAUAUAACCGUUUAUUAAAGUUUUAAUAAAAUCGCUUUCAAUUCAGGCUACACUCCUUUACUUUAUACUCUGAAAAUUUCUGUAUGCGAUUUAAACAUGUUCAAUUGUAAUGCAUCAACUUUUCUUUUAUGAGUAAAACUUUAUGUCAGGUUUUCUUCCAACAAGAUUGUAGUUUUCAUACAUGCUUGAAAAAGAAGAGAAAAUACAAUUUAGCUCUUAGCCAAAUUAAUCCUUCCAUUUACAAAGUUUGUGUAAUCUAUUUCCACUUGAAUUUAUAUUGAAAUAAUGCUACAUUUAUACUUUUAUUAAUCUUUUGAAGGAUGUUUGUUACCCAUUUUCUCUUUCAGAACAUGAAAUGAUUUCCCCUUAAGUUUUCUAUUUUUUUUACGAACAAUGUAUUCGAAAAUAUUUUUAAACCAUACUCUUGAGUUCUAUAAACUUUGUCUUUGGUUUGGAUAUUCUUCUUCUGUAAACCUCAUAUUUUUUUGAUUCAUCUUGAAUUCGUUUCAAAAUACUGUGUUGUUUUUCAUCUUAUUGAUCCUAUCGAAUCCCGUCGACUCAAGAGUUACCUUUAAAGUUAUCAGUUGAUCCUCUUUCCAACAUUCUUCGUUUCUUGUUUAUCCUUGUCUACUUAUGAUUUCAACAAUUCCUUUCAAAUUCUCGCGAAUACGGUCCUUGCCGCUUUUCUUUCUUUGCUAAGGUCUAUUAUCCUUCGGAGUAUACUCGAAGUUAGUUUUGGUAUCUUGUGUGACUGUUGGACUUAGUAAACGACACAUUAAUUCCUUAGGGUACGUUUGAUGGACGCAAAAGGUGAAACUUGUAAAUAUACAAUGUUGCAGGGAGUUGUGGAACGUUAUUUCAUGUGAAAGAAUUUUGUUGAUGUUGGGUUUGUGACCAUUAAGAUUUAUGAAGUGUUGACGAGGUUGAAAACCUUCGGAUGAGUUGCUCAAUAAAGUACAGUUGAGAAUGAUGGAGAUAAGUUAUAUUGAAGUUUGAAUAGUUGAGUCUUUGAAGUUGGUAUGAGAUUAGUAUACAGAUGUUGAGCACAUCAUUUUAACCCCGGCUUGCUUUAUAGCCUUUUGCCGCCUUGCAUUACCAUCACACGUGUGAAAUAUAUUAUUUUGUGCAUCAAGCCUAUCUUGUAAUUUUGUUUCACAUCAUACUUAUACCUUUUAUAUUUUUAUGCCAUAUGAAAAUUCUGGUAUUUGAAACUAUAUGAAUAUAUAUA
rnacentral:lncRNA from 1 species